rnacentral:rRNA from 1 species
AGUGAACGCUGGCGGUAGGCCUAACACAUGCAAGUCGAACGGCCGCACAGUAAGAGCUUGCUCUUACGGGUGGCGAGUGGCGGACGGGUGACGAAUACAUCGCCAUCUUCUUUUUCGGGGGGGAUAACGUAGGGAAACUUACGCUAAUACCGCAUACGACCUACGGGUGAAAGCAGGGGAUCUUCGGACCUUGCGCGACUGAAUGAGCCGAUGUCGGAUUAGCUAGUUGGCGGGGUAAAGGCCCACCAAGGCGACGAUCCGUAGCUGGUCUGAGAGGAUGAUCGGCCACACUGGAACUGAGACACGGUCCAGACUCCUACGGGAGGCAGCAGUGGGGAAUAUUGGACAAUGGGCGAAAGCCUGAUCCAGCCAUACCGCGUGGGUGAAGAAGGCCUUCGGGUUGUAAAGCCCUGUUGUUGGGAAAGAAAAGAAGCAGGUUAAUACCCCGCUGUUCUGACGGUACCCAAAGAAUAAGCACCGGCUAACUUCGUG